rnacentral:lncRNA from 1 species
UGAGCCGGCGAUGGUUCUGUCUGGAAACUGUUAUGAGCAUCUAUUUUGGUGGAACAUAUAGUAUGAUGAAGUUGUCUCCAGAACUGUUAUCUUAUGUUUCCUAGUGUAGACCAGAACAAUAUUAAACCUCUCUAUAUAGUGCAGUAGUAUGUUGUAUAAAGAACACUGGUAAGUUUAUCCAUCAGCAUGUCAGGUUAGCUACAAUGGAACAUAAAAUUACUAUGGCUAUGCUGUGUGGUACCACUGUCUGUUUUUUCUCUUAGGUAAGAUAGCAUUGUUCAGUUACACAUGGAAUUACUACCUUUUCUUUUUCAUCCAUGUAGCGUCCUCUCUCUUGUCUUGUCCUUGCCCUUCCACCACCGUUCUUCCACUGAGCUAGGGGGGGGGGUGCUCGUCGCUUCUCCGUCGAGCACCGCACCAUCCCCAACNNNNNNNNNNNNNNNNNNNNNNNNNNNNNNNNNNNNNNNNNNNNNNNNNNNNNNNNNNNNNNNNNNNNNNNNNNNNNNNNNNNNNNNNNNNNNNNNNNNNNNNNNNNNNNNNNNNNNNNNNNNNNNNNNNNNNNNNNNNNNNNNNNNNNNNNNNNNNNNNNNNNNNNNNNNNNNNNNNNNNNNNNNNNNNNNNNNNNNNNNNNNNNNNNNNNNNNNNNNNNNNNNNNNNNNNNNNNNNNNNNNNNNNNNNNNNNNNNNNNNNNNNNNNNNNNNNNNNNNNNNNNNNNNNNNNNNNNNNNNNNNNNNNNNNNNNNNNNNNNNNNNNNNNNNNNNNNNNNNNNNNNNNNNNNNNNNNNNNNNNNNNNNNNNNNNNNNNNNGCGUGGCAUGAAGCAACAUGAUCCAACCGCUUUCAUUACCAUCCAUUUUGCCACAUCAAACAGAUGACAUAAGUGGAAUCUUGUUGUUUUUCGGACUUCAAAAUGUUUUAUCUCUUAAAUAAAAAAUAUGUUUUCAUCAUUAAAUUCGUCUUAAAGAGAUCUUCAAAACUAGAUCCCACAUUAAUAUGUUUCAGUGACUUUUUUGUUGGCUAGAAGUCGCCAUGAUGUUACACUGAAGUUGUCAGAAUGUUUACAUUGAAGAUGCCAUAAUGUUUACACUAAAUAUGCCAUGAUAUGUUUCAUCUAUUAUUACUUCUAGAUUUAAAGCUACCAUUGUAUUUCAACUACUUUCCACGGCAAAUUUUUUAAUUGACCAGGGCAAUUUUUAGUAAUUAACCACGACAAAUAUAAUUCAUGGAUCAUGACUAUUUUUAGUAAUUUAUCAUGGCAAAUUUAGUUUAUAGAUCAUGACAAUUUUAGUAUUUUCACGAGGUAAAUACACCCGUGGUGCUUCAACUUGCCACAGAUGUUCAGUUUAGUGCCUGAACUUGAAAAAUACAUCAAACUGAUUCUAAAAUUUGGCACGAACGUGCAAAUACGGUGCUAAUCACACCCGUAGACGUAAAGUGCGUCGAGGUGGCACCGUAUAUGGCUGAUGUGGUACAGACAUGGCGUGGGGCCCACUUAUAACUACGAAACAUAAUUACUUGAAUAGUAAAUGUCUCUAUGACUAGUGGCCCCGCCUGUCAGUACCUUAGAAAAAUAAAAUGGAAAAUGCGCCAGUCAGGUAUCACACCAGCAGCAAGACGAUUACACGCUGCUAAUGCAAGCUACCACACCUCAUAAUCGUUUUCGUUAAAUUUGGCGCCUCAGUCAAAAUAUACUGAGCGAGAAACUCCUGUGUCUGGAAAUGGGCCGCAGCCAGUGGCCCAUAUCGCACACGUUAUUUUUUUAAAUGUAAAAAAUACGUAAAUAAUAAUAAUAAUAAAAGUAAGAUUCAAAUAUUCAAAUGUUAGAAGAAAGUACCUCAUGCCACACAAAUGUCCACGUGCAUACAAAGUAAAUAUAUAGAGGUAUACUAUACAAAAUAAAAUAAAAUAUUUAAAUAUAUUCCUGUAAUAUUUAGAAAUAUUUAAUUAUUAUUUAGAACAUAAUUAUUAUUUAUAAAAUAUAUUUUAAAUGUUAGUAUUUACAAAAACAAUUAAACACUCAUGGAUUAUAUUUAAAAUAGUAUUUUCUAAUAAUAAGUUAAUAUUUCUAAAAAUUGCAGGAACAUUUUUAAGGUAUUUAAAUCUAGAUAUUUGUGUAGCAUAAAGUAAUUAUUAGUAACACAUGAAUAUUUAAAUCUAGAUUUUAUUAUUAUGAUUAUUAUUGACAUACUUUUUACAUUAAAAAAUAAUGUGCGGAAAAUGGGCCACAAGCUGCAACCCAUUUAUGUAUACUGGAGUUUUCGGUUGAAAUACAUUAAGGAUGAGGGGCUGACAUUAACUUGAAAACAUAUUUGGUGGAAUGGUGAGCCCAAGUAUUUCCCAACGUCAGGUCGCAGGUUCGAUGCCCGUCUAUUACGUUUUUAUGUUAUUUUUCUUACUAAUUAUUUACUGACAGGCAGGCCCACUAGUCAUAGGGUCAUAUAUGGUACUCGAGUAAUUCUGUUUUGUAACUACAAGUAGGCCCCACGCCAUGUCAGUGCCACGUCAGCCAUACACGAUGCCACAUUGACGUGCUUUACGUCUAUGGAUAGGAUUAGCACCGUAUUUGCAUGUUUGUGUCAAGUUUUAGAACCAGUUAGACGUAUUUUUCAAGUUCAAGCACUAAAGUGAACAUUGAUAACAAGUUCAAGCACCAUUGUUGUAUUUACCUCUAUUUUCACCAUGGCAAUUCUAUUAUUUUUGACCAUGGAAAUUAUUUAUUUGUGUGAAGCAUGGCAAAUUUUAGUGCAUGUAUCAUGACAAUUUUAAGUAAUUUACCAUGACAAUUUUAGUUUCUGAUUCAUAACAAAUUUGAGUCAUUGACUAUCCAUCUUUAAAUUAAUUGAUGAUGGAUUUCUUUUUAAUGAUGAACCAUGUCAAAAUUGUUUCAUGGAUUAUGACAAAGUAAUUCUACAUGGCAAGUUUAUUCUUGAUUCUCUUUUUUAUAACAUGUCAAAAUUUACUUUAAACGAAGAAGAAAAAACUAGUUAAAGCGUAUCAUGGCAACUUUAGUGUAAACGCCAUAGCAAUUUAUGUGCAAUAGACAUGGCAACUUUUAACCGUUAAAAAAUAAAGUCGAAACAUAUCGACAUGGGAUCUAGUUUUGAAAUCCUCGUCGCCGCUGAUUUAAUGGUGAAAACAGAUUUUCAUUCGAAAUUUUUAUUUAAGAGAUAAAACACUAUAAAGUUUGAAAACCCCCAAAGAUUCCCGUUGACAUGAUCUGUUUUGUCCCUAUUUGUAUGCAUGUGUGAAAGAAACAAAAAUGUUGACGUGUCACAAUGGGUGACUAAAAUGACGUCACGUGUCACAAUGGGUGACUAAAAUGACGUUUGGCCGAUCUCCUUCAGCCAACAUGUGUGGGCAAAAUUGUUUCGUGCCACACGUCUGACACUUAUUAGGGUCCAUUAAAAAGAGUAGAAAUACAUAGGAAGUGUAUGAACUUCACAUCGAAUAAUCGUAAACACAUGUAAUAAACGUUCUCAAUAUAUCAGCUAGAACAUGGCAGAUCAGAUAAAGUACUUAAACCAAAAUGGCAGAUCUCAUCACCUAGAGCAUGCUGCUUGUAUAAUAAUGUGGCGGGCAGUGCUAAAGAUCUAUUUGAGUGCAACAAACAUUGAGAUGUGAGAAUACUAACAAGAAGAGAGGAUGGGAACACAACAGAUAGAGGAAACCGAUCGAAAGAAGAAGAAGAGCAUAUUAACAAGACAAGGGGAACAUGAUAAUUAUUUUAUUGAUCAUUACUCCAAGAUAAAGUACAAUAGAGUUAUGUAGACGGUCUAUAAGAGAUACCACAUCAGAUUUGUGUCUAGUUGGAGAAGAUAGGAGAGGAGAGAAGAGAGGAGAGAGAAGAGAAGCGGGCUACAAGCUUACAACCGGUUGUAGCACGAGUCCCAACAACCUUUAUGAGAGAAAGAUGUGACAUAUAUUAAUGAUAUAACUUACUAGUCUAACUAACUAUUGUAUGACUGAGUUAUUAAGAUGGCUGCAAGUGACAUGGAACGUAUCUGGUGCACCAAGGUAAUUGGUGCUAUCGGUGCAUCUGACCCUGUUGUACAUUCAAAAAUGUUUGAAAAAAUCCGAAAAAGAUUAUUAUUGCAUUGACACAACAUCAAUGUAUGUUAUCACAAAAGUUCAAAUCAAAAUUUCAAACAUUGCUUAAGAUACAAAAAAUGAUAAAUUUGACAUCAAUGUGCUAAUGGGCCAAAAAUAAAAUCCAACUUGUGUUAUGUACUAUUUAGUGUCAAAUUUGUCAUUUUAGUAUCACGAGCAAUGUUUUGAAUUUUCAUUUGAUUUUUUAUGACAAAAUACAUUGAUGUUGUGUGAAUGCACUAUUUUUUUCUGAAUUUUUUUCGAAUAAUGUGCAAUGGGGGACCGAUGCACUAGUAGCACCAACUGCCCCGGUGAACCGGAUACGUCGCCACAAGUGACAUGGCAAAUCCAUAUAGCCAGCUCUUGGCUAUAUUUAUUAACCAUGCUUAAUGAGUCAACACAGUGGGUGCAAGAAGCGGCUGCAUCGAUUAAAACAUUUGUUUGUUGGCGGGGGCAGAGAUUGGCCGUCGACAGCGUCACAAGCUAGACCUGCAGCGAUGUCCAGGUGCAGUUGUGAGGUGCGGCCGUGCUGGGCGCAUGAGAGUAGCACACAACUCACUCGGGCCCAGCUCACCGUGUACUUGGGCCGAAACUCGGCCAGGGUGUUGGUGUGUGUGAACACCAGGGUGAUGUUGAGGCGGACCUAGCCAAGGCCUUUGUGGGCAAUGCCCUUUCCAAAGAUGUCGGCCUAAUCGCCCGUGUAGAAGAGUGGUGUAGAGUCAGGCAGGGUGCCCUCCCGCCCCGCGAAGGUGAACCACCCACCAACGCGGUUCCAGAAGCCUGCAUCUAAAUGCGAGCUUGACCUGGGUGCGUUGCAGGUGGGGAAAGAAAACACUAAUUUAUCCUAAUCUAAGCCCUUCAAAAAAGAUUCUUCAGGGAUUUCCCCAGGUCUACAGGAGGGGGGGCACUGCCCCCCAGCCCAGCACAUAACUCCGCCAUUUGCUUGUGUUGAUGAGUGGGUGAGUGUGUGAUAACCCACAAGUAUAGGGGAUCACGGCAAUCUUCGAGGGUAGUAUUUCAACCAAAUUUAUUAAUUCGAUAGAAGGGGAGCCAAAGAAUAUUUGUAAGUAUUAGCAGUUGAGUUGUCAAUUCAACCACACAUGGAGAACUAAAUAUCUGCAUAAAAGUGUUUAGUAACACAGUAGUAUGAUAGUUUGAUAAUAGUGGUAACAGUAGCAAUAGUAACGGUAACAAUAAUAGAAGCAAUUUUAUAGCGAUUGUAACAGCAGCAGCAAAAGUAACUUAGGAAAGAUUAAUACAUGGAAAGCGUAGACAUUAGAUCUGUGAUGUACAAUUAUAUUGGAUGAUAUUCAUCAUAUUUUCCUCCAUUGCCACCAACUGACAACCUCGGAUGGACGCGCCACCAAGUGUACCCACGCAAAGAGCCUCUCUUCAAAACAAUGCGUCCAAUGGAGUAAGGCCGUUAACGAUGCCCUCUUGCUAACCCGACAAGGUGGGUCUAGGUCUUCACCUGCAAAAAAGAUCAGAAAGGCACGAGGGUUGCUGAUCUCCUUGGUGAUGCCUACAAGAAGGAAUGAGGCGUCAUCGCUGCAUUGAAAUAGGAGUGGCGAAAGAAGAUGCCCGACUGGUGGAUCCAUGGCACGGCGAGCCGAACAUGUAUCAGCUUCCCGUCUGUGCUGGCGGUUAGCUCCCUGUCGAUGGAUCCAGAACGACCGGUAUCGUAUCCGCCGCUAGUCAUGCGGAAGAUGGCCGGAGAGGAGCCGAGAGGAGGCUGAAGCGAAAUGGAAGUGGACAAAUGGGUAAAGGUUUGAAUCAAUAUGGGUACAUGAAGGGAAUUUUAUGGGGUCAAAAUGUGCUGGUCCGACGUCACAAACGCGUCUGGGCGGCCUCAAAUCCACCUCACAUAUGGUGGAGAUACCGAGGGUGCCGGACAGUCCGAAUGAUUGGGCUUCCCUUCCCUCCCUCGUGUUGCAUGAUUUGCAUUAGCACAUGCUAAAAUACCGGAAUUGUUUUCCAAGGAAAACCAAGCACAUUGAGACCGCAUCAGUGCACGCUGUCACAGAUUUAUUUUGUGAAAAAAUGUUUUGUGAAGCGAUGUUGGAGGUACAGCGAAAAAUGAAACUGGCGCUACAGGAAGUGGAGUGGGAAGAGGUAGGCCUCGCUCUCUCUGCAGCUCAGCCGCAGGUGAUAGAGCUUGACCACGGAGUGGAAUGGGAAAGGGAAGGAGCUGCGGCUUUCGUUGAAAAUACAUCCACGCACGCACACAGUAGGACGAUUGAAGGGCGGAUGCUCUUUCCCCUCUCCACCGAACUUUUCACUGGCUUGUGGGUUUGGCUCCUUAAAUCGAGGCUCGUGCUUUUUUUUUUACCGUGUCUGCCGACUAAAGAUGAGAUGUUUUUCUUUUUCUUUACAACAGCACGGACGCGGUAAAAAAGACUGGGCAGCCGCGCAAUUACUAAGCUCACCUUUCCACCGACAGUAUCUCCACAAUUACUAAGCUCCCAUGAAAUGAAGCACUCUGGUUGAUGGUGGACUUUGGUCAAAUGGCGGACCCCGCCAAAGAUGGUUUUCUAACCAAUGAGUACCACGUGGCAACGUAUUAGUAGAAGCGAAAAUAAAACUGAUUUUCUUGACUCAAUUGUCCGCUUUUUUGUAUUACUAAGCUCACAUGAAAUGGAGCCCUCUGUUUGAUCGUGGACUUUGGUCAAAUGGUGGACCCUGCCGAAGCUGGUUUUCUAGCCAAUGAUUACUACGUGGUAAUGUAUUAGUAGAAGCGAAAGUAAAACUAAUUUUUUGACUCGAUUGUCUGCUUUUUUGUUUGGGUCAACAACGUCGUCCAACGGUGCCCGACGCAUUGUUUUCGGCAUCCAUUUAAGAAAACAAUUUUGAAAGCAUGCGUUUGAAUUAAACAUAAGUAAACAUUAAAUCGGCGGUCAACUGUGGCAAAAGUCCACUUAAACAUUAAUAAAACAUUAAAAACUAAAUAAACGCGCCUCCCAACGACAAAGCACGCUGCCCUAGGUGUCGCCAUCGUUGUCGUCGUCGCCGGUGAGGUCGACGAAGGCUGGUGGCGGCCCAACCCAUGGGAAUGCGGUCUCCCACGCCACUCGCACCGACUCCUACAACAUCUGCCCCACCGGCAGCAUUGCUGCGCGGCGCGCGCUCGUCAUUCUCCUGCUCCCGACACUCUUCCUCCACCUCCUGUGCCCAGCAGGCACGACACUCCUCCUCCUCACACUCGGCUUGCAUCCAGCGCUCGCUGUCGGCGCGCUCCUCGGACAGGUGGAGCUGUCCCCAGUGCUCCAGGUAGGCCUCCUCUUGCUUCGGCGAGGCGCCCAGCGCGAUGGGCGGCGCGCUAGCCCACUCACGGAGGAUGCCGGUCCACGCUACAUCUCCGACUCUGGCUCCGUGGGAAGCGUGUGAGUGAGCGCACGUGUGUGCUCAGGCGGUGGGGGGGGGGCGUAGGCACGGUCCCCCGCCGACGAUAGCCCGUGUCCUGCUCAUGCUGGCUCUCCUCUAGGGUGCCCUGGAGCACCACCUCCAAUGUGGCCUGGUGGGCCGCCUCCUUCUCCUCCGAUGCCACCUCCCGGGGCGACGGCACGAACCCAAGGUUAAGCCGCAUGCCGCCGCGGCGGGCCACAUCGUGCUCCAUAGCGAACCAGGCCACCCGGUUAGGGGAGACUUGCGAGUAGGCAGGGUCGCGCCAAUGCUCUGGUGUCAGGAGGCCGCGGUGUUUGGAGUUCCUCUAAUCUAUGUCAACAACUGCUUGUUACAAGGGAGUAAUUGACGUCAAGAGCUUUGUUGCUUGCUCAUGUGUUGACGUCUACUUCAAAUUGAUGGCUUGAUUCUGUUGAAGCAAAUGGGUUUAACCGAAAGUUUUAAAAUGGUUUUUGUUGGUUUCGGUCGAAGAGUUUGGUUUUUAAAAAUUUGGAUUGUGCCGGUAAGUUUUAUUGGUUUGCAUGGUCUAGGUCUUAAACCUUUUCCUAGCCGGCUUGCUUGUUUGUUGAUGAGCGGUGCUGGUCCAAUUUCUUUAUUUCGUUAGAAGUUUUGCCAAACGUUGAAUGGCGGAUCUGAACGAGUAGGGCGUUUUGGUGCUCAGGCUCAUCUGCACCUGGUUAGAAAAAUUAUAAAAAAUUCAAAACAAAUUCAAAAAAUUUCAACUCUUUUUUGUGUGGUAGACAAUUUGAUGUGUGAGGCCCGCUCCAAAUUUCAAGUCAUUUGGACAUUUGAGCAGCUCUCAGUAAAAAAGACAAAUCGGACUAAAACAGUACAUGAACAGUAAACAUUUUUACAGACUCCCAAUUUAUCUUUUUUACUGAGAGCUUCUCAAACGUCCAAAUGAUUUGAAAAUUGGAGCGGACCUCACGCAUCAAAUUGUCUACAACACAAAAAAAUUGGAAUUUUUUUGAAUUUUUCUAUUAUUUGUUUUGAUUUUUUGUCAACGUGGGUGCAGAUGCGCUCGGGUGCAGAAAUGAAUUUUUCGAUCUGAACAUUAUAUUCUUUUCAAAUAAAGUUGCUGAUUUUUUUACUUCCCGUUGUCAUAUCUUCUAAGGUUCUAAACUCUCUAGGAAUGUUUGCUCCUGGUCCAUCACGGCUUUGGGGAGCUGGUGGGCCGCUCAUGCGAUUGUUUGCUUGGGUCCACUCCUAGCCGAACGUGACACUCAUAUAUUGAUUAUUGUGUUAUACAUAAGAAUACCAUAAUCACCCACAAAACAAUUUAGUUCACCUCAUAGAUAGAUAUUGUCUCUAUCGAGCGAGAGCGAAGCCAACAAAAAGAAGAAAUCAUCAUUGCAACUAAAAGUCAUCUUAACUCAUGUGAAAUACAUAAUGAAGCCACCAACCAUAAUAUCAUGUCAAAUAAAAAGAAAGGCUUAACUCAUGUCUAACGACGGCACGACAAAGCGCGCGUCAACCUCUAGUGUUACACCAACUCCAACAGGGCGACCAUUUCAUCUGUCCACAUCCGUUUUGGUCGUAGCGGACAAAAACGCCAGCUCAACGCGCCGACCCAUUUCCAAAAUCCGUCUGCAUCGCGUCCGCGUAGACCUGUUUUCGGCUAAAAAUUACGCAUGAAAUGUGUCGGCGCAGACAUGUCGCAGACGCACCGCACGUCUCCUCGAUGUCCACCGCGGUCCCACUUGUCGGUCGCCUAACCACCAUUCGCGUCUUAUUAAAUGCCAACACCUACCUCAGGGCCCGCCUGGCAGCGUGUGAAAGGUCCGCAUGCCCGUCCUUUUUAAUAGAAGCGUGUGACGGGGCCGGCCUCAUCCACUUCCAACACCCGUCCACAUUUGGCCACGCGGUGCUCCCUCGCCGGCGACCAGGAACCCUAGCAAGCCCAAACCACACGUAGCGAGGUCCUCCCGUCGGCGACCAUGGGGUUUUCAAUGGCAAGCGAAGGGGGAAGCUGACCUUCGGUGUGAGCUCUUCCCGCGGCUCGAGAGCUAUUCCGUCGCCGCCUCCUAGACGUGGCUCACCACCGGAGCGGCAGCGUCUGUACAUACCAGUCCAUCAGGCGCGGUGGCACUAGCAGUACCGCCGUCCACUGCAGUAUCCGGAUGUCAACCUGCCUCACAGCUGGCAUCUGGAUCCGCAGCGGAUCCCCAUUUUGGCAGCACCACGCACGACAUGGGUGCAUGCCGAGGAGGUUCGCCGGCAUCGCAAGGUCCUCACUCCGGAGCAUCGACAGAUGCAUACCUACGCGCUAGACCCCCCCAACUAGGAGCGCUGAUUUUUGCUAGAGCACGAGGAGGAGCGCCGCUGGGGCGUCCAUGUUGACCACGACGUGCCUCCGCAGCUUCUUGAGGUUCUUCCGCACGAGGAGGACGAAGAGGCGACGUACCAAGCCGCCCUCGAGCAAGCCCUGCAGCAAGCGCUGGAGGCGAGCAGGGUCGAGAAGGACGCCCAAUGGGAUGGGCUGGAGCGCGCCCUCGCCUUGUCGGCGACAGGGGACUCCAUCCACUCCCCGCUCUUCAUCCCGCCUCCGCCAUCGCUGCCCAUCGUCGAGCCCAAGGCGGAGCCGGAGCCCAUGUUGGAAAUAUGCCCUAGAGGCAAUAAUAAAUUAGUUAUUAUUAUAUUUCCUUGUUCAUGAUAAUCGUUUAUUAUCCAUGCUAGAAUUGUAUAGAUAGGAAACUCAGAUACAUGUGUGGAUAAAUAGACAACACCAUGUCCCUAGUAAGCCUCUAGUUGACUAGCUCGUUGAUCAAUAGAUGGUUACGGUUUCCUGACCAUGGACAUUGGAUGCCAUUGAUAACGGGAUCACAUCAUUAGAAGAAUGAUGUGAUGGACAAGACCCAAUCCUAAGCAUAGCACAAGAUCGUGUAGUACGCAUGCUAAAGCUUUUCUAAUGUCAAGUAUCAUUUCCUUAGACCAUGAGAUUGUGCAACUCCCGGAUACCGUAGGAAUACUUUGGGUGUGCCAAACGACACAACGUAACUGGGUGGCUAUAAAGGUGCACUACGGGUAUCUCCGAAAGUGUCUGUUGGGUUGGCACGAAUCGAGACUGGGAUUUGUCACUCCGUGUGACGGAGAGGUAUCUCUGGGCCCACUCGGUAGAACAUCAUCAUAAUGUGCACAAUGUGAUCAAGGAGUUGAUCACGGGAUGAUGUGUUACGGAACGAGUAAAGAGACUUGCCAGUAACGAGAUUGAACAAGGUAUCGGGAUACCGACGAUCGAAUCUCGGGCAAGUACAAUACCGCUAGACAAAGGGAAUUGUAUACGGGAUUGAUUGAAUCCUCGACAUUGUGGUUCAUUCGAUGAGAUCAUCGUGGAACAUGUGGGAACCAACAUGAGUAUCCAGAUCCCGCUGUUGGUUAUUAACCGGAGAACGUCUCGGUCAUGUCUGCAUGGUUCCCGAACCCGUAGGGUCUACACACUUAAGGUUCGAUGACGCUAGGGUUAUAAGGAAUAGAUAUACGUGGUUACCGAAUGUUGUUCGGAGUCCCGGAUGAUAUCCCGGACGUCACGAGGAGUUCCAGAAUGGUCCGGAGGUAAAGAUUUAUAUAUGGGAAGUCCUGUUUUGGUCACCGGAAAGGUUUCAGGUUUUAUCGGUAACGUACCGGGACCACCGGGAGGGUCCUGGGGGUCCACCAAGUGGGGCCACCAGCCCCGGAGGGCUGCAUGGGCCAAGUGUGGGAGGGGACCAGCCCCAGGUGGGCUGGUGCGCCCCCCCCACCAAGGCCCAAGGCGCCUCCAAGAGGGAAAGGGGGCAAACCCUAGGGCAGAUGGGCCCUAAGGCCCACCCCAGGUGCGCCUCCCCCUCUCCCCCUUGUGGCCGCCACCCAGAUGGGAUCUGGGGGCUGCCGCCACCCCUAGGGAGGGAACCUUAGGUGGGGGCGCAGCCCCUCCCCUUCCCCUAUAUAUACUUGAGGUAUUGGAGGCUGCAAGACACACGAGAUCCUCUCCUUCUUGGCGCAACCCUACCCCUCUCCCUCCUCGUCUCUUGCGAUGCUUGGCGAAGCCCUGCUGGAGUACCACGCUCCUCCACCACCACCACGCCGUUGUGGUGCUGCUAGAUGGAGUCUUCCUCAACCUCUCCCUCUCUCCUUGCUGGAUCAAGGCAUGGGAGACGUCAUCGGGCUGUACGUGUGUUGAACGCGGAGGUGCCGUCCGUUCGGCACUAGGAUCUCCGGUGAUUUGGAUCACGACGAGUACGACUUCUUCAACCCCGUUCUCUUGACCGCUUCCGCUUAGCAAUCUACAAGGGUAUGUAGAUACACUCUUCUUCCCCUCAUUGCUGGUUUCUCCAUAGAUAGAUCUUGGUGACACGUAGGAAAAUUUUGAAUUUCUGCUAGGUUCCCCAACAGUGGUAUCAGAGCUAGGUCUAUUGCGUAGAUUCUAUGCACGAGUAGAACACAAAGUAGUUGUGGGCAUUGAUUUUGUUCAAUAUGCUUACCGUUACUAGUCCAAUCUUGCUUCGACGGUAUUGUGGGAUGAAGCGGCCCGGACCGACCUUACACGUACUCUUACGUGAGAUAGGUUCCACCGACUGACAUGCACUAGUUGCAUAAGGUGGCUAGCGGGUGCAAGUCUCUCCCACUUUAGUCGUAACGGAUUCGAUGAAAAGGGUCCUUAUGAAGGGUAAAUAGCAAUUGGCAUAUCACGUUGUGGUUUUGCGUAGGUAAGAAACGUUCUUGUUAGAAAACCAUAGCAGCCACGUAAAACAUGCAAACAACAAUUAGAGGACGUCUAACUUGUUUUUGCAGGGUAUGCUAUGUGAUGUGUGUAACACCCUCGAUGCGACUAUAUCUCCCACGUGUCGAGGCACGACUUAGAGGCAUAAUCACAUUGAAGGCAUAUGUCGCAAGUGAGGUAAUCUUCACACAACCCAUGUAAUAAAUAAGGAAAAGAGAUUACAUAGUUGGCUUACAAUCGCCACUUCACACAAUUACAGGAAUAAAGCAUUACAACAACCAAAUACAAUCAGGGCCCGACUACGAAGCCAAAAUAAAAGAAGAACCCCAAAUGCGACAAAGGUCCCCGGUCGACCCCAACUGGGCUCCACUACUGAUCAACUAGAACGAAACACCACAAAGGACAAGAUCUUCAUCGAGCUCCUCCUGAGCUUGGUUGCUUCAACUGCGCGGUCUCAUCGGCACCUGCAAGCUGGUUUUGGAAGUAUCUGUGAGCCACAGGGACUCAGCAAUCUCGCACCCUCGCGAUCAAAACUAUUUAAGCUUAUGGGUAAGGUAAAGAUAUGAAGUGGAGCUACAUCAAGCGACUAGCAUAUAUGGUGGCUAACAUGCGCAAAAGAGAGCGAGAAGAGAAAGCAAAGCACGGUCGAGAAACUAUGAUCAAGAAGUGAUCCUAGAACAACCUACGUCAAGCAUAACUCCAACAACCGUGUUCACUUCCCGGCCUCCACCGGAAAGAGACCAUCACGGUUACACACGCGGUUGAUUCAUUUUAAUUAAGGUCAAGUUCAGGUUUUCUACAACCGGACAUUAACAAAUUCCCAUCUGCCCAUAACCGCGGGCACGGCUUUCGACGCCGGUGAGCUGGGUGGCUGCUGGCGCGCCGCCCAUGGGGACGACGCCCUGAGCCGGCGAUGGUUCUGUCUGGAAACUGUUAUGAGCAUCUAUUUUGGUGGAACAUAUAGUAUGAUGAAGUUGUCUCCGGAACUGUUAUCUUAUGUUUCCUAGUGUAGACCAGAACAAUAUUAAACCUCUCUAUAUAGUGCAGUAGUAUGUUGUAUAAAGAACACUGGUAAGUUUAUCCAUCAGCAUGUCAGGUUAGCUACAAUGGAACAUAAAAUUACUAUGGCUAUGCUGUGUGGUACCACUGUCUGUUUUUUCUCUUAGGUAAGAUAGCAUUGUUCAGUUACACAUGGAAUUACUACCUUUUCUUUUUCAUC